rnacentral:rRNA from 1 species
AUUGAACGCUGGCGGCAGGCCUAACACAUGCAAGUCGAAUGGUAACAGGAAACAGCUUGCUGUUUCGCUGACGAGUGGCGGACGGGUGAGUAAUGUCUGGGAAACUGCCUGAUGGAGGGGGAUAACUACUGGAAACGGUAGCUAAUACCGCAUAACGUCGCAAGACCAAAGAGGGGGACCUUCGGGCCUCUUGCCAUCAGAUGUGCCCAGAUGGGAUUAGCUAGUAGGUGGGGUAACGGCUCACCUAGGCGACGAUCCCUAGCUGGUCUGAGAGGAUGACCAGCCACACUGGAACUGAGACACGGUCCAGACCCCUACGGGAGGCAGCAGUGGGGAAUAUUGCACAAUGGGCGCAAGCCUGAUGCAGCCAUGCCGCGUGUAUGAAGAAGGCCUUCGGGUUGUAAAGUACUUUCAGCGGGGAGGAAGGGAGUAAAGUUAAUACCUUUGCUCAUUGACGUUACCCGCAGAAGAAGCACUGGCUAACUCCGUG